rnacentral:rRNA from 1 species
GACGAACGCUGGCGGCAUGCCUAAUACAUGCAAGUCGAGCGAACAGAUGAAGUGCUUGCACUUCUGACGUUAGCGGCGAACGGGUGAGUAACACGUAAGGAAUCUACCUAUAAGCGGGGGAUAACAUUCGGAAACGGGUGCUAAUACCGCAUAAUAUCUUCUUCCGCAUGGAAGAAGAUUGAAAGACGGCUCUGCUGUCACUUAUCGAUGACCUUGCGGUGCAUUAGUUAGUUGGUGGGGUAAUGGCCUACCAAGACGAUGAUGCAUAGCCGACCUGAGAGGGUGAUCGGCCACAUUGGGACUGAGACACGGCCCAAACUCCUACGGGAGGCAGCAGUAGGGAAUCUUCCGCAAUGGGCGAAAGCCUGACGGAGCAAUGCCGCGUGAGUGAAGAAGGCCUUCGGGUCGUAAAACUCUGUUAUAAGAGAAGAACAAAUUGUGGAGUAACUGCUACAGUCUUGACGGUAUCUUAUCAGAAAGCCACGGCUAACUACGUGCCAGCAGCCGCCGUAA